rnacentral:rRNA from 1 species
UACGUAGGGGGCAAGCGUUGUCCGGAUUUACUGGGCGUAAAGCGCACGCAGGCGGUCUUUUAAGUUUGGAGUGACAGUUGGUGGCUUAACUGCCAAAGUGCUUCGAAAACUGAGAGACUUGAGGGCUUCAGAGGGACACGGAAUUCCGGGUGGAGUGGUGAAAUGCGUAGAGAUCCGGAGGAACACCAAAGGCGAAGGCAGUGUCCUGGGGAGUACCUGACGCUCAGGUGCGAAAGCCAGGGGAGCGAACGGG